rnacentral:rRNA from 1 species
AGUGAACGCUGGCGGUAGGCCUAACACAUGCAAGUCGAACGGUAGCACAGUAAGAGCUUGCUCUUACGGGUGGCGAGUGGCGGACGGGUGAGGAAUACAUCGGAAUCUACUUUUUCGUGGGGGAUAACGUAGGGAAACUUACGCUAAUACCGCAUACGACCUACGGGUGAAAGCAGGGGAUCUUCGGACCUUGCGCGACUGAAUGAGCCGAUGUCGGAUUAGCUAGUUGGCGGGGUAAAGGCCCACCAAGGCGACGAUCCGUAGCUGGUCUGAGAGGAUGAUCAGCCACACUGGAACUGAGACACGGUCCAGACUCCUACGGGAGGCAGCAGUGGGGAAUAUUGGACAAUGGGCGCAAGCCUGAUCCAGCCAUACCGCGUGGGUGAAGAAGGCCUUCGGGUUGUAAAGCCCUUUUGUUGGGAAAGAAAAGCAGCAGGUUAAUACCCCGCUGUUCUGACGGUACCCAAAGAAUAAGCACCGGCUAACUUCGUG